rnacentral:rRNA from 1 species
UAGCGGCGAGUGAGCGGCAAUAGCUCAAAUUUGAAAUCUGGCACUUUCAGUGUCCGAGUUGUAAUUUGAAGAAGGUAUCUUUGGGUCUAGCUCUUGUCUAUGUUUCUUGGAACAGAACGUCACAGAGGGUGAGAAUCCCGUGCGAUGAGAUGUCUAGAUCUAUGUAAAGUUCCUUCGAAGAGUCGAGUUGUUUGGGAAUGCAGCUCUAAGUGGGUGGUAAAUUCCAUCUAAAGCUAAAUAUUGGCGAGAGACCGAUAGCGAACAAGUACAGUGAUGGAAAGAUGAAAAGAACUUUGAAAAGAGAGUGAAAAAGUACGUGAAAUUGUUGAAAGGGAAGGGCUUGAGAUCAGACUUGGUAUUUUGUAUGUUACUCUCUCGGGGGUGGCCUCUACAGUUUACCGGGCCAGCAUCAGUUUGAGCGGUAGGAGAAUUGCGUAGGAAUGUGGCUCGGCCUCGGUCGAGUGUUAUAGCCUUCGUCGAUACUGCCAGCUUAGACUGAGGACUGCGGCUUCGGCCUAGGAUGUUGGCAUAAUGAUCUUAAGUCGCCCGUCUUGAA